ACCUUUCUCCUUUUUUUUAUUUCACUGUAGUUUGCAAAGAUCACAGAGGGCAUCAUGAUGUCACACGGCUGUUAUCUCUGCCUGUUGCUUUUAAGUGUAAUCCUGAUCGAGCCAUCACAAGCAGGCUGUAUGGAGCACUUCGAAAAAGAAGGAUUGCGAAAGGCAUUAAGUACGCUCCCAAAGAAUAUUCCUGUCAAAAUAAUGAACAACCCCGAG